rnacentral:rRNA from 1 species
UACGGAGGAUGCAAGCGUUAUCCGGAUUUAUUGGGUUUAAAGGGUGCGCAGGCGGGCGUAUAAGUCAGUGGUGAAAUCUCUCGGCUCAACCGAGAAACUGCCAUUGAUACUGUAUGUCUAGAGUAUAGAUGGGGUAGGCGGAAUGUAGCAUGUAGCGGUGAAAUGCAUAGAGAUGCUACAGAACACCAAUCGCGAAGGCAGCUUACCAAGCUAUUACUGACGCUCAUGCACGAAAGCGUGGGGAUCGAACAGGAUUAGAUACCCUGGUAGUCCACGCUGUAAACGAUGAUCACUAGCUGUUGGCGAUACACAGUCAGUGGCUAAGCGAAAGUGAUAAGUGAUCCACCUGGGGAGUACGAUCGCAAGGUUGAAACUCAAAGGAAUUGACGGGGGCCCGCACAAGCGGAGGAGCAUGUGGUUUAAUUCGAUGAUACGCGAGGAACCUUACCUGGGCUUAAAUGUAGAUUGCAUGAGAUGGAAACAUUUCUUUCCUUCGGGACUAUUUACAAGGUGCUGCAUGGUUGUCGUCAGCUCGUGCCGUGAGGUGUCGGGUUAAGUCCCAUAACGAGCGCAACCCUUACCCUUAGUUGCCAGCACGUCAUGGUGGGGACUCUAGGGGGACUGCCGGCGCAAGCCGAGAGGAAGGUGGGGAUGACGUCAAAUCAGCACGGCCCUUACGUCCAGGGCUACACACGUGCUACAAUGGCCGGUACAGAGGGCAGCUACCCCGCGAGGGGAUGCGAAUCUCGAAAGCCGGUCUCAGUUCGGAUCGAAGUCUGCAACUCGACUUCGUGAAGUUGGAUUCGCUAGUAAUCGCGCAUCAGCCAUGGCGCGGUGAAUACGUUCCCGGGCCU